UUGUUGUUUUUUUUUUUUAAGUUUUGCCACCAGCAUACCAUAAUUUGAUAAAAAGAUUUUACUGCUCCAUCCAAACUUGGGUCCUUUUCCGGAAGUCCUAAAUAUUCAUUCCAAAAAGAAAAGUCUCUAAAAGUCUCGCCUCAUCAUUUGUGGCUCUCAAGAAGGUUAACAGCAAACUCCCCUGACCCUCUGGAAAAAUUAUCCAUUACUGCAUCUCUCUCUCUAAGAAGAGGGUAGCUCCUAAACAUGACGAACAGUGCAGUGGAAAUCUCCUCAUCAAAACUGAAGUUUGCCUUCACUCCUCAGAAUCCACCAGCCACCUCUGACACUGCCUUGGGGGAUCUCUCCUUGAUGUAACCACAUCCUUUGAGAUCACUCAGCUCAGGAAACAGAUACCUGGAGAAGGCAAGUGAAAUUGUCCAAAAUUUCCUGGUAAACUGGUGGUAAAACAAAUAGGAAACCUGCUGCCUCACACUGCCAAACUGAGAUGACUUGUCAUAGACAGGGGAAUGGAACAUAAGGCUGCUGUCUUCCUCUCAGUCCUUCUAAGCUAAAGGAGAAAGCUCUCUCUGAGGCUGUGGAUACUGAGGUGUCCUAUGCCAGGAUGGCAGAUGCCUGCGCUGUGUGGGUCCCACGCCCUGUGAGGAUCAUUGUCCAGACAGCAUGUCUCACUUUGCAACUGCUCUGAAGUAUUCCUUCCUUACGUGGAAUGGCAAAUGGUGGGGAGGUAACUAGAUUGAUCUCCCUUGUAGGCCUUUUCCUGGGACGUGGUACACAGGUUCCAGAUGGUACAAAGCCCCUGCUGCUUGGAUCUGCACAAAAACCUGUGUCUUCUUCAACCUAUUUCACAACAGAUUUGGCGCGCUCUUGGUCGGUUGCUCUUUGUACAAAUUAAGCUGAGCUGCCAGGAACGUUUGCAAACAGUGAAAAGCAAAGUGGGAUGUAUGAAGCAAGUCAAAAUAGGUCUCAAAUCUGGCAAAAUGCCUGCAGGUGCUUAUAACAUUUGACUUACUCUAGCUCAUGUAUUACCCACCCACACAGUCAUUCAUCCAGCUUUUUCCUGCCCUCACGCCCACACACACUCACCCUUUGCAAAUUCAUUCACCUUCUCUUCUCCCCCCCCAUUUUCUCUUCCAAACACAGUCAUUCCCCCACACAAAUAUACCCUAGACACACUCUUUGUUCCCCACAUACAAGCACACACACCUUUUUGAGUGCUGAGUGCAGUGACUGUAGGUGGUGUGUAGCAGACGAUGCUGUAAUCUUAUACCUAUGCUGAGAAAAAGCCUUUGGUAUUAGCGAGCUGAGAGCUCUGAUUGUUCUCACUUUCACGUAAAAUACCACUAAUCCAGUUUAUGGGGCUGACUGUUUCCAUCCUUUCCUGAACUCUGCCAUUGUUUUCCAGGGGAUCUCUCUUUCUGCUCAUCUUCCUCUUGCUCCACUUUGCCUCUUUCUCCCUAUGCUUUUCCUUUUCCACGUUGCUGCCCUAGACCACAGUGUUUCAGAGAGCUUGCCCAUCCCCAUAUCUCUCCAUGACCUAACACUGGCCCUGAUUACCUCACUGAGAGGGUGAGCAGGGAUGAGCAAUGAGCCUGCCAUGCAGCGUGGGGCACAGGGCAAGAAAUCCUGCAAGGUAUGGUGAGGUCAGAGGCAGAGACGGUAAGUGGUGGGGUGGAUCUUGCUGCCAUCCGAGCAGCGCUGAGUCCGCCUGGCAUCGAGCCUGCCUCUAAUGGAAUGUGACCCACCGCUGGGAAUGAGCUCAUCUGUAAUCCACUUAAUUGAGUUUUAUGAGCAGGAUUCUCACAUCGGGGAGCCAGCCUGCCUUCUUCCUAGCACUCACCCUUCUUUGCUUGCUGCCUGGGGAGGAGAAGGGGAGUGGGGGGUGUGUGCACUACUCCACUGAGCUAGUGAUAGUCUAGCUUCUGAUUUUCUGCCUGCCCUGGAGAAUCUGCAGGGAGCUGGACAGACAUGCUCUUCAAGACACCCACUGCCUCAUAGUGUAAUGUUUGCUUCUGCUGCAGGAUGCUCAAAUGUCAAUGUGACUAUUGGUAAUGCUGUCAGGACUGCAGAGCCUUAAGUUUUCCCAGCAUUUUGGUCUCUGUGCAAGUACUGGGUACUCAGAGGAGAUGCUCUCAGGUAUGCAUGAACCACCUUAACUGUGAGUCCAAGUGUGAUGGGACAGUCACUCUGAUCUCACUCCUCCUUUCAGUGUGCAGUAAUCUAAGUGGUGGAGCUGCCAGGAUCCUGUAAGAGCCUUUGUUUACACUGUAAUGUCUUACCAUCUUUAGCAUUUGCAUCAUCAUUUGUUUGUACUAAGUGAAUUGGUCACAUAAGAAUCAGCUAACAGAAAUUUGUCUGCUGUCUGCUAAGGGAUUUGCAGGCUUGAGUCUGUCUGCUGAAAGAUGCAGACUUUUGUCUUGGUAAAGCAGAACAAAGGGAGAAAGAAAAAGUGAGGGAGGGAGGCUUCUCCCCACAGGAGUGUUACUUUCCUUGGAAAAGCCUACUAGAGACCCUCUGGCAUAUAAAAUUUGGGAUAUAUUCCCUUCAGUGCUGGCAUGAAUGUCUGUAUUUGAAAUACAUACUGUCUGUCACUUCUGGUCUACCUUGUAGAAGAAAACUUUUCAUGGUUUCACAUCAAGUGUUGCAUACAUAUUGCAAAGCAGUAGCUCAGCAGCUCCACAAAUCCGUAACUUUGUGGAAAGGUCAUGGCAUAUGGAAAGGGAAGGAUACUGACAUGUUAACACAAAGCCCGUAACAGACCUGUGCUGGGAACAGCAGGGUCACCACUCUGUAUUCAGGUGUUUCUUAAA